UCCUACGGGAGGCAGCAGUGGGGAAUAUUGCACAAUGGGCGCAAGCCUGAUGCAGCAACGCCGCGUGAGUGAAGAAGGCCUUCGGGUCGUAAAACUCUGUCCUAAGGGAAGAAGAAGUGACGGUACCUUAGGAGGAAGCCCCGGCUAACUACGUGCCAGCAGCCGCGGUA
rnacentral:rRNA from 1 species